rnacentral:rRNA from 1 species
AUUGAACGCUGGCGGAAUGCUUUACACAUGCAAGUCGAACGGCAGCACGGGGGCAGCCCUGGUGGCGAGUGGCGAACGGGUGAGUAAUACAUCGGAACGUGCCCGGUCGUGGGGGAUAACGUAGCGAAAGUUACGCUAAUACCGCAUACGAUCUGAGGAUGAAAGCGGGGGAGCUUCGGGCCUCGCGCGAUCGGAGCGGCCGAUGUCAGAUUAGGUAGUUGGUGGGGUAAAGGCCUACCAAGCCGACGAUCUGUAGCUGGUCUGAGAGGACGACCAGCCACACUGGGACUGAGACACGGCCCAGACUCCUACGGGAGGCAGCAGUGGGGAAUUUUGGACAAUGGGCGCAAGCCUGAUCCAGCCAUUCCGCGUGCAGGACGAAGGCCUUCGGGUUGUAAACUGCUUUUGUACGGAACGAAAAGGCUCUGGCUAAUACCUGGGGCUCAUGACGGUACCGUAAGAAUAAGCACCGGCUAACUACGUG